UAAAUACUCCCUCCGUCCGGAAAUACUUGUCAUCAAAAUGGAUAAAAGGAAAUGUAUCUAGACGUAUUUUAGUUUUAGAUACAUCCCUUUUUAUCCAUUUUGAUGACAAGUAUUUUCGGACGGAGGGAGUAGAAA
rnacentral:pre_miRNA from 1 species